GCGACAUACCCAGGAAUGUUGCUGAAGCUGCUCCGCUGUCUUCUCCAAAGAGUGUUACCGAGUUGGAAUCACCCCCUUGAUAACAAUCGUGUAAAUAUCAAAAGAGCGGCUAGUUGAUCCAGCAAAGCCCAAUUACCUGGGGCUCGAUGAUCCGCGGUACUCAAAAAACCUACACAUACAAUCAUCGAUUACUACGAGAAGCUUUGGACCAAAAAAGUAUGACGAACCACCUCCCAUCACGAAAGCACCGCCGUGCAAAAACACCAUCACCGCCUUUGAACUUCGUAUCUAAAAUUCAAACAAGAUGAUGAAAAUAAUUUACUCUUGAUAACUUGAUUUACAUACUGAA